rnacentral:rRNA from 1 species
GAUGAACGCUAGCGGCAGGCUUAACACAUGCAAGUCGAGGGGUAGAGGCUUUCGGGCCUUGAGACCGGCGCACGGGUGCGUAACGCGUAUGCAAUCUGCCUUGUACUGGGGGAUAGCCCAGAGAAAUUUGGAUUAAUACCCCAUAGUAUUUUCGGUUGGCAUCAACUGAUUAUUAAAGUUUUUCGGUACAAGAUGAGCAUGCGUCCCAUUAGCUAGUUGGUAUGGUAACGGCAUACAAAGGCGACGAUGGGUAGGGGUCCUGAGAGGGAGAUCCCGCUGACUGGUAAUGAGAAACGGACCAGACUCAUACGGGGGGCAGCAUUGAGGAAUGUUGGUCAAUGGUCGCAAGACUGAACCAGCCAUGCCGCGUGCAGGAUGAAGCAUCUAUGGUGUGUAAACUGCUUUUGUACGGGAAGAAACACGGCUACGUGUAGCAGCUUGACGGUACCGUAAGAAUAAGGAUCGGCUAACUCUGUGCCAGCAGCCGCCGUAACAC